GUAGGUUUGAUUUGCUUCUCUAACAUCCGGUACUUUUGCAAAAAUCUUUGAACACAGAAAGCUAAACCAAAGCCCAGGAGGAGGCAAGUGUCCAAGAACAUAUGGAAGCCUAAGAGGGAUUCUUCACCCAUGGUUGCUUAGGUUUAUAAGCAAGGAAGCUGAAUGAAGUCCCUUUCCUCUCUGGAUGAGCCCCUGGGUUUCUGGAAGAGUCUUAAAAUCACCCCUAAAUGGCUUCCAAGCACUGAAGCCCGAGAUGUUAGCUGGCCUGUGUGAGGCCUUGAGACAGAAUGCCACAGCCACACCCCAAGGAUGCUGAAGGGGAUUUCCCUCCUCUGUGGUUUUUCUCCUUUCUUCCCGCAGCACUCCUCCUACGUGCUAACAUCUUCUAGUCAAACAACUCUCCUUUUCAAAGGGACCAGGCACAGUUUCUGCUUAUCCCUGAGUAGCAGUGUUCAGUUUCCUGCCAGCCUGUGGAGUUUUUCAAACAAGCCAAUCACCUCCUCCUGUGGGAACUGAGAAGCACCCCACCCUCUCGAUACUACAAAGCCCCUGCUUGUUCCCUAGUGCAACUCCCAUGUGGUCCUGUGGAGCAUAUGGUAUCUUCCUCUUCUGGGCAGUGAGCAUAUGUGACUAAUAAACUAUCUAUCUCAUCUGUUCAGUGCCAGGUGUCAUUUGUUCUGCCAUCCCAUGACCUAGGGUGGGGAUUCCUUCCACACCAACAGGGUGAAUGCAAGGUGAUUAAAACAAGAAGCCUCUUCAGGAUCUAUAUCCUAGGGAAAAAAUUAAACAACAACAACAAAACAAGAAGCUUCAACUCUGACCCUGUAUUCCAGAUGUGUUACAGGGGCCUGUCUCCCCAGAGCCACUCUCCAGGUCAGAGCUUACCUCCCCUUGCUCAGGGUUAGGAGCUCUGGGCAGGAAAAGGACAUCAUGUUAAAA
rnacentral:lncRNA from 1 species